rnacentral:rRNA from 1 species
CCCGGCACGGGUGGAGUAACACGUAUGCAACACCCUCGUAACAGGGGGAGUAACCCGGAGAAAUCCGGACUAAUACCCCAUAAUAUGGGCGCUCCGCAUGGAGAGCCCAUUAAAGAGAGCAAUUUUGGUUACAGACGAGCAUGCGCUCCAUUAGCCAGUUGGCGGGGUAACGGCCCACCAAAGCGACGAUGGAUAGGGGUUCUGAGAGGAAGGUCCCCCACAUUGGAACUGAGACACGGUCCAA